rnacentral:rRNA from 1 species
ACUCAAAGGAAUUGACGGGGGCCCGCACAAGCAGUGGAGUAUGUGGUUUAAUUCGAAGCAACGCGAAGAACCUUACCAGGGCUUGACAUCUCCUGCAUAUCUAAGAGAUUAGAGAAGUCCCUUCGGGGACAGGAAGACAGGUGGUGCAUGGUUGUCGUCAGCUCGUGUCGUGAGAUGUUGGGUUAAGUCCCGCAACGAGCGCAACCCCUGUUGUUGGUUGCCAGCAUGUAAAGAUGGGCACUCCAGCGAGACUGCCGGUGACAAAUCGGAGGAAGGUGGGGACGACGUCAAAUCAUCAUGCCCCUUAUGUCCUGGGCUACACACGUACUACAAUGGCUGUAACAGUGAGCAGCAAGCGCGCAAGUGCAAGCGAAUCUCGAAAAACAGUCUCAGUUCGGAUUGUGGGCUGCAACCCGCCCACAUGAAGUCGGAAUUGCUAGUAAUUGCAAGUCAGCAUAUUGCAGUGAAUACGUUCCCGGGCCUUGUACACACCGCCCGU